CUUUUUUUGGACCAUUUACAGACAUGAAAACCUGAUAGGGGUAUAGCUAAACCUGUGAGUGUUUCUCUGUGCUAUUAAAUAAAUCCCAAGGCAUUAAGACAGAGAAUAUUACAGGGUGUGGUCAUGCAGGAGUGUGUUUUGGAGUGUUUUCAGUGACCUGUGAAGUUCUGAAGCUACUCCUGAAGUGAUCGUUCUGUUCGUUCUACACAAAGUGUUAAUGUGUUUAUUGAGAACCAAUUGAGUCAUUUGUUAGAGUCAUUUUUUUUAUAUUAAAACCUCAUUACACUCAUUUUAAAAUGUUAUAUAAAAAUGAAGCAUGAUCAUACAUGAUCAUACAUUACAUAAAACAUUUUUUUAUUAAAUGUCUGCAAGCAUGAGCAUGAUAUUUCUGGUCAUAAGUACAGACUGGAGUGGAAUCAGCAUGUUACCUGCAUGUAAUGUAACGUCUACCUGAGGGUGUACAAACUUCUAAACACAGAUAGAAGUCCAGUCCAGUGAAGAACUUCCUACAACAGGCUUGAUAGAAUAAUUACUGACAGUGAAUCAUUACAUUAUAAUAAACACCACACAUUUCUUUACAAUAUAAAUGUAAAAGUAUGUUUUACACACUGACCCAUGCUGAUUCACAAAAAUAAAAUCGAACCAACACAUCUGUUUGCUCAGUGCGUUACUAACACUUCAAAUGAGCUCAGUUAUAAGUUUAAACCUUUGUUUAAUUGUUGUUUGAUUUGAUAAAGAAUUCUCACAUGGUGUAAAUAAACUUCACAGGAAAGCUGAAACACGGUUAUUUUAAUCUGUUCAUCUGUGUGGUGUGUUUUAUCUGGGUCAGAGCUCCUGUAGAUCUUUUUAUUUCGAGGUCUUCAUGACACAACAACAGUUCAGUUCAGGAAAAACAGAGAAAUGUAAAUACAGACAUUAAAGUGCCACUUCACUAGUGUCGUUAUUGAUUAUGAGCGUUUGAUCUAACACACAUAAAACACAAGUCCUGUAACAAUCACAGUCAGAACUGUUCUCUGUUUUAGUAAUAAUGCAAAAAUCACAUGGAAUUAUGUAAAGCAUUUCUCAAAGCUUAUUCAAAUCCACGGUAAACACGCAUAACAA